GACGAACGCUGGCGGCGUGCUUAACACAUGCAAGUCGAACGAAGAGCGAUGGAAGCUUGCUUCUAUCAAUCUUAGUGGCGAACGGGUGAGUAACGCGUAAUCAACCUGCCCUUCAGAGGGGGACAACAGUUGGAAACGACUGCUAAUACCGCAUACGAUCUAACCUCGGCAUCGAGGAUGGAUGAAAGGUGGCCUCUAUUUAUAAGCUAUCACUGAAGGAGGGGAUUGCGUCUGAUUAGCUAGUUGGAGGGGUACCGGCCCACCAAGGCGAUGAUCAGUAGCCGGUCUGAGAGGAUGAACGGCCACAUUGGGACUGAGACACGGCCCAGACUCCUACGGGAGGCAGCAGUGGGGAAUCUUCCGCAAUGGACGAAAGUCUGACGGAGCAACGCCGCGUGAGUGAUGACGGCCUUCGGGUUGUAAAGCUCUGUUAAUCGGGACGAAAGGCCUUCUUGCGAAUAGUUAGAAGGAUUGACGGUACCGGAAGAGAAAGCCACGGCUAACUACGUG
rnacentral:rRNA from 1 species